rnacentral:rRNA from 1 species
CAAUAGCGUAUAUUAAAGUUGUUGCAGUUAAAAAGCUCGUAGUUGGAUUUCUGGUAGGAGCGACCAUACCGGACUUGAUUGUCCGCGUAAUGCGUUGUCUCCAGCCAUCCUCGUGGAGAUUGUUUUUGGCAUUAACUUGUCGAAUUCGGGACCCGCGUCAUUUACUGUGAAAAAAUUAGAGUGUUUAAAGCAGGCAAUUGGCUUGAAUACAUUGGCAUGGAAUAAUAAGAUAGGACUUUGGUGCUAUUUUGUUGGUUUGCACAUCAAGGUAAUGAUUAACAGAAUCAGUCGGGGAUAUUCGUAUGCAAAUGUCAGAGGUGAAAUUCUUGGAUUUUUUACAGACGAACAACUGCGAAAGCAUUUAUCAAGGAUGUUUUCAUUAA